AUGGCCCUGAAUCAAGGCUGGUGGCUUGUUGUAGCUACUGGUUUCAAGCAGGAGCACAAAUUAACUUCUUCCUGUGGUCUGUUGGCUGGGCCAGUUUGCUGUAUGACCAAGCCAAUUCAGUUGGAAGAGACAAUG